UAGCUCAAUUUAAGUCUCACAUCCCAAACACGAUGCUUGAUCCAUUGGCUGAUUGAGAAUCAAGGGAUGCAUAAGAGAAGCGAAUCCAUCACGGAGAGAACCUGAUGCGUGAGAUGUUGAUUUGAUUCGAGAGAAAGAGAUCGAAGCUAAUGCGGAUUGGAGGGAGGUGACUGAGGCUGAUUCGAGAUGGAGAACGAGGAGAAGAUUGAAGCAAAUCAAAGGCGCCACGUAGAAGGUUCAUUAUCACGAUUCUAGUUUGGAGCAAAGAAGAUCAGGGACUUUUGUAUGGCCAUCCACGCUGUUUAAUAUCCUAAAAUAAAGGUUUUCUUUUAUUUUCACGCCAAUGGCAAAGUUUUCAUCUUAAAAGCAUAUGGUGUGGCACUACCCAUUUUCCUGCACUGCACACUUUUUGUAAAAUGAAGGUUACUACUUCGUUAACCGUUGGGCGAGAUGAUGAUUGGAUGCGAGGAACACCCAUGGUCAACAGGGAGGUGAUGGUUCUGUUGCUUAGCCUCCGGACUGGCUUCUUCUUUUAGGCUUUUCUUUUAGGGCGAUGGCCCAUGUACUGUCUGGCCUUUGGGCUUUAUUUUUUAAACAUUGUCGUUAUUCCUUUAUACUUUCUUUUUGGCAUUGUAGUGUAUCUUGGUUAUUGUAUGGAGUAGUGUUUAUACUCCAGGACUACGCUACUAUAUUAUCCUAUGUGACGUUUAUUUUAAUUUGGAUUAUUAAUUAAAUG